AACGCACCUUGCGCUCCUUGGUAUUCCUUGGAGCAUGCCUGUUUGAGUAUCAUGAAAUCUUCAAAGUAAAUCUUUUGUUAAUUCAAUUGGUUUCUACUUUGGUAUUGGAGGUCUUUGCAGUUUCACACCUGCUCCUCUUUGUUCAUUAGCUGGAUCUCAGUGUUAUGCUUGGUUCCACUCGGCGUGAUAAGUUAUCUAUCGCUGAGGACACUGUAAAAGGUGGCCAAGGUAAAUGCAGAUGAACCGCUUCUAAUAGUCCAUUGACUUGGACAAUAAUAUUUUUAUGAUCUGAUCUCAAAUCAGGUAGGACUACCCGCUGAACUUAA
rnacentral:misc_RNA from 1 species